UGCCAGCAUCCGCUGUACUCCUAAGGGUGCUAUCGUUGUUCGGAAUUACUGGGCGUAAAGAGCAUGUAGGCGGAUGAAUUAGUCAGAGGUGAAAGCCCCGAGCUCAACCUUGGAACUGCAUUUGAAACUGGGAGUCUAGAGAUCAGGAGAGGUUAGUGGAAUACCGAGUGUAGAGGUGAAAUUCGUAGAUAUUGGGAAGAACACCAGUGGCGAAGGCGGCUAACUGGCUCGGUACUGACGCUGAGAUGCGAAAGCGUGGGGAGCAAACAGGAUUAGAUA
rnacentral:rRNA from 1 species